GCCUAACCCACUGAGCCACCCAGGCGCCCCCCUAGGGGGAUUUAUGACUUCUGAAGUCCGCCUGGCGGAACCGGACAUGGAGUUCUAGGCCUGGACCCUCCCGUCAGUUAAAGCCGCCGGUACUUUUUAAUUGUUUCACAUGUUUCACCUUAAAGGAAGAUUUCCUUUGAUCCAGAGGGCGGAGUUGGGUAGGAACAUCCAGCCAGAUGUCUAUCUGUAUUUCUAGUCCCAACAUUCUGUUUAAGUCCUUCCUAUCAAGACUACUUUCUAGUUUCUGAACCACAGCAUUUUACACGAAGGUAACAGUGAAUGGAUCUGCAGUUCCCAGGUUAUUUGUGCUUUGAAGAAGCUUCUCUCUCCUGUUUAUUAUUUAAAUUUUAGCUAACACACAGUGAAAUAUUGGAUUCUGGAGUAGAAUGGAGUGACUCAUCACUUACACACAACACCCAGGACUCAUCACAAGUGCCCUCUUUAAUGCCCCAUUACCCAUUUGUCCCUCCCCCACCUCCCUCCAUCAACCCUCAAGUUUAUUCUCUAUCGAUAAGAAUCACUUAUGGCUUGUU